rnacentral:rRNA from 1 species
CCUACGGGUGGCAGCAGUGGGGAAUAUUGGACAAUGGGCGAAAGCCUGAUCCAGCCAUGCCGCGUGUGUGAAGAAGGCCUUCGGGUUGUAAAGCACUUUCAGUGGGGAAGAAAGCCUUGGGGCUAAUACCCUAGAGGAAGGACAUCACCCACAGAAGAAGCACCGGCUAACUCCGUGCCAGCAGCCGCGGUAAUACGGAGGGUGCGAGCGUUAAUCGGAAUUACUGGGCGUAAAGCGCGCGUAGGCGGUCUGAUAAGCCGGUUGUGAAAGCCCCGGGCUCAACCUGGGAACGGCAUCCGGAACUGUCAGGCUAGAGUGCAGGAGAGGAAGGUAGAAUUCCCGGUGUAGCGGUGAAAUGCGUAGAGAUCGGGAGGAAUACCAGUGGCGAAGGCGGCCUUCUGGACUGACACUGACGCUGAGGUGCGAAAGCGUGGGUAGCAAACAGGAUUAGAUACCCUUGUAGUC